rnacentral:rRNA from 1 species
UAGGGAAUCUUCUGCAAUGGGGGGAACCCUGACCGAGCAACGCCGCGUGAGUGAAGAAGGUUUUCGGAUCGUACAGCUCUGUUGUUAAGGAAGAACGUGUGUGAGAAUGGAAAGUUCAUGCUGUGACGGUACUUAACCAGAAAGGGACGGCUAACUACGUGCCAGCAGCCGCGGUAAUACGUAGGUCCCGAGCGUUGUCCGGAUUUAUUGGGCGUAAAGCGAGCGCAGGCGGUUAGAAAAGUCUGAAGUGAAAGGCAGUGGCUCAACCAUUGUAGGCUUUGGAAACUGUUUAACGUGAGUGCAGAAGGGGAGAGUGGAAUUCCAUGUGUAGCGGUGAAAUACGUAGAUAUAUGGAGGAACACCGGUGGCGAAAGCGGCUCUCUGGUCUGUAACUGACGCUGAGGCUCGAAAGCGUGGGGAGCGAACAGG